GGGGGUCGUUAGCUCAGUUGGUAGAGCAGUUGGCUUUUAACCAAUUGGUCGUAGGUUCGAAUCCUGGAUUCGAACCUCCG
rnacentral:tRNA from 1 species